UGCGUCCUUAGUGUUAAUGUAGCAUGACGGUCUCCAAAACCGUUGGACAGGGUUCAAGUCCCUGAGGGCGUGU
rnacentral:tRNA from 1 species